UGGACAAUGGGGGCAACCCUGAUCCAGCCAUGCCGCGUGAGUGAUGAAGGCCUUCGGGUUGUAAAGCUCUUUUGGCGGGGACGAUGAUGACGGUACCCGCAGAAUAAGCCCCGGCUAACUUCGUGCCAGCAGCCGCGGUAAGACGAAGGGGGCUAGCGACGUUCGGAAUUACUGGGCGUAAAGCGCGUUUAGGCGGUUGCCAAAGUCGGGUGUGAAAGCCUUGAGCUCAACUCAAGAAUAGCACUCGAUACUUGGUGGCUAGAGGACCGGAGAGGAUAGUGGAAUUCCCAGUGUAGUGGUGAAAUACGUAGAGAUUGUGAAGAACACCAGUGGCGAAGGCGGCUAUCU
rnacentral:rRNA from 1 species